UGGGGGAUAUUGCACAAUGGGCGAAAGCCUGAUGCAGCGACGCCGCGUGGGGGAUGAAGGCCUUCGGGUUGUAAACUUCUUUUGCUCGGAACAAGGCAUGCCUUUGGGGUGUGUUGAGCGUAGGGGUUGAUUAGCUCCGGCUAACUACGUGCCAGCAGCCGCGCUAAUACGCAGGGCGCUAGCGUUGUCCGGAAUUAUUGGGCGUAAAGGGCUUGUAGGUGGCUGGUUGCGUCUGUCGUGAAAGCUCAUGGCUUAACUGUGGGUUUGCGGUGGGUACGUGGUGGCUUGAGUGCAGGAGGGGAGGCUGGAAUUCCUGGUGUAGCGGGGGAAUGCGCAGAUAUCAGGAGGAAGACCGGUGGCGAAGGCGGGGCUCUGGGCUGUUACUGACGCUGAGGAGCGAAAGCGUGGGGAGCGAACAGG
rnacentral:rRNA from 1 species